UACGUAGGGUGCAAGCGUGUCCGGAAUUAUUGGGCGUAAAGAGCUCGUAGGCGGUCUGUCACGUCGGCUGUGAAAUCCCCGAGGCUCAACCUCGGGUCUGCAGUCGAUACGGGCAAACUAGAGUAUUGCAGGGGAGACUGGAAUUCCUGGUGUAGCGGUGAAAUGCGCAGAUAUCAGGAGGAACACCGGUGGCGAAGGCGGGUCUCGUGGGCAAUAACUGACGGCUGAGGAGCGAAAGCGUGGGGAGCGAACAGG
rnacentral:rRNA from 1 species